rnacentral:rRNA from 1 species
UACAGAGGUCUCGAGCGUUAGGCGGAAUCACUGGGCUUAAAGCGUGUGUAGGCGGAUCGUUAAGUACCUUGUGAAAUCCCACGGCUUAACCGUGGAACUGCUUGGUAUACUGGCGGUCUUGAGCCAGCUAGGGGCUACCGGAACAAAUGGUGGAGCGGUGAAAUGCGUAGAUAUCUGGAGGAAUACCGGUGGCGAAGGCGGCAUCCUGGACCGGCAUUGACGCUGAGUGAGCGAAAGCCAGGGGAGCAAACGGG